GCGGAUGUGGUGGAAUUGGUAGACACGCCAGACUUAGGAUCUGGUGCCUAACGGUGUGGAGGUUCGAGUCCUCUCAUCCGCACCA
rnacentral:tRNA from 2 species